rnacentral:rRNA from 1 species
CAAUAGCGUAUAUUAAAGUCGUUGCAGUUAAAAAGCUCGUAGUUGGAUUUCGGGGUGGCCUGGCUGGUCCGCCGCAAGGUGAGUACUGGUCAGCCGCCCUUCCUCUCGAAAGCCCCGACUGCUCUUUACUGCAGUGGUCGGGUAGUUCGGGACGUUUACUUUGAAAAAAUUAGAGUGUUCAAGGCAGGCUAUCGCCUGAAUACAUUAGCAUGGAAUAAUGGAAGAGGACCUCGGUCCUAUUUUGUUGGUUUCUAGGGCCGAAGUAAUGAUUAAGAGGGACAGUUGGGGGCAUUCGUAUUUAAUUGUCAGAGGUGAAAUUCUUGGAUUUAUGAAAGACGAACUAGUGCGAAAGCAUUUGCCAAGGAUGUUUUCAUUAA